UAAGUUUAAUACGGAACGGCACCAGGGUCAACUCAAGACAGAUUGUUAUUCAAACUAUUCCGUUCAAGAUAAAUCAGAGUUGUUUUUGUUUUUAAAAUGGGAUUGUGUGCGCGAGUUGUUGAGGGAGAUGGGAAGGGACUAUGUUGUCCAGGCGGAAGGUGAGGUAUAUAUUUCCGGUUCCGGCGGGUCACUCCUUUCAGUCUCCUCGAUCUCCGGGUGGCGACGGUAGCAGUGACCAAGUCAGUUUGUGUGGCAUUUUGGCCCAGCAAAACAAUGGUGGCCAAACAGAGGAUCCGGAUGGCAAAUGAGAAACACAGUAAAAACAUCACGCAGCGAGGGAAUGUUCCGAAAAGUUCGAAAACAACACCAGAUGAAAAAUCAUCGGUCGGUCCCUGGCUCUUGGCACUUUUCAUUUUUGUUGUUUGUGGAUCAGCUAUCUUCCAGAUUAUUCAGAGUAUUCGGAUGGGCAUGUGAAAUGGACAAAAUUCAAAUCUCUGUACCUUUCUAAGUGUCUUGCUGUUAAUUCCAGCUGUGAGUCUGACCAUUCCAACACUUCCUUUGUCUUACAAACGAUGGAUUUUACAGAAUUGAUCUUUCUGUAAUUGUUUUUGAAGAAACUUUUAAUUCCAUGGUGUUGCUAAAAGUCUAGUUCAUUCCUUCGUGUGUCCCAAGAAGGCAAGGAUACAGUAAAAAGCCAUCCAGCAGUUUAAUUUUGUAUUUUAAUCAGGGAAAUAGUUUGUAAGAUCAUAUUUAAUGUGAAUACUUUAUCAUUAUAUAUAGUCGGUAUGUAGGUAAGAACCCUUUUGGUGUAUUUGGAUUUUUCCCCAUUCUUUCACAAAUCCUUUAAAAUUGUAGAGAAGGUGGUUCUGCUCCCUGUCCAAUUUGAGAUACAAAAUGUGCAUCUUUCUAAAUUAAAUUUAUAAUUCCGGAAAAGUGCCUUCUUUUGUAUAUUAAAAUGUACAACCAUUUUAGGACUUAGGCGGGAAUGCUUCUCUGAUUUUAGAACGUGAAUUGAUUUUGUUUUUUUUUUUUGUCGAAAUAAGGGUGAUCAAUCUCUAAUGUCUUAAAAUGUUUGUGUCUGAUCGAUCUAAUAACUUGCUCCGAUUUUUUUAGGGAGGGAAGAGGAGAAUGGUUGUGGGGUGGGUUCUGUUUUAGGAGGACCUGAGGCAGUUUGGGUGCUGAACACGUUCGCCUACAUGCUUAGAGUCGACAGCUCCUCUUGAGGGGCAGGAGCAGCCAGUUCAAAGUUGUGUCCGCAGUGGUAACUGAAAUGGGCAAAAUAUAAGAAAGCUUCUCCAUUGCCAACACUGUACUGUCCGAUAAUGUUGUAAAUCAUGGCAUGCUGAUAUCUCCACAUUUCUUGACUGCUUGGUUGCUGCUCUGUCUUAUCAGGUCCAGUCGAUUUGUGUUUGACUGUAAGCAGCUGCAGCAUUUGUUGCCCAAAUAAAUAUAUUUUUGCUUGA